rnacentral:tRNA from 1 species
GGCCCGCUAGCUCAGUUGGUAGAGCAUCUGCCUUUUAAGCAGGUGGUCCCGCGUUCGAAUCGCGGGCGGGUCA